UAGGGAAUCUUCCACAAUGGACGCAAGUCUGAUGGAGCAACGCCGCGUGAGUGAAGAAGGUUUUCGGACCGUAAAGCUCUGUUGUUGGUGAAGAAGGAUAGAGGUAGUAACUGGCCUUUAUUUGACGGUAAUCAACCAGAAAGUCACGGCUAACUACGUGCCAGCAGCCGCGGUAAUACGUAGGUGGCAAGCGUUGUCCGGAUUUAUUGGGCGUAAAGCGAGCGCAGGCGGAAGAAUAAGUCUGAUGUGAAAGCCCUCGGCUUAACCGAGGAAUUGCAUCGGAAACUGUUUUCUUGAGUGCAGAAGAGGAGAGUAGAACUCCAUGUGUAGCGGUGGAAUGCGUAGAUAUAUGGAAGAAUACCAGUGGCGAAGGCGGCUCUCUGGUCUGCAACUGACGCUGAGGCUCGAAAGCAUGGGUAGCGAACAGGAUUAGAUACCCUGGUAGUCCAUGCCGUAAACGAUGAGUGCUAAGUGUUGGGAGGCUUCCGCCUCUCAGUGCUGCAGCUAACGCAUUAAGCACUCCGCCUGGGGGAGUACGACCACAAGGUUGAAAC
rnacentral:rRNA from 1 species